GUAGCUCAUCAAGUAGAGCAUCGGACUGCAAAUCUGAGUGGAGCGGGUUUGACCCCCUCUCCUGAGCACCA
rnacentral:tRNA from 1 species